UGGGGAAUUUUGCACAAUGGGGGAAACCCUGAUGCAGCGACGCCGCGUGAUUUAGAAGGCCUUCGGGUUGUAAAAAUCUUUUCUAUGGGAAGAAAAUGACAGUACCAUAGGAAUAAGUACCGGCUAAUUACGUGCCAGCAGCCGCGGUAAUACGUAAGGUCCGAGCGUUGUCCGGAAUCAUUGGGCGUAAAGGGUACGUAGGCGGGUAAGCAAGUUAGAAGUGAAAUCCUAUAGCUCAACUAUAGUAAGCUUUUAAAACUGCUCAUCUUGAGGUAUGGAAGGGAAAGUGGAAUUCCUAGUGUAGCGGUGAAAUGCGCAGAUAUUAGGAAGAAUACCGGUGGCGAAGGCGACUUUCUGGCCAUAACCUGACGCUGAGGUACGAAAGCGUGGGUAGCAAACAGG
rnacentral:rRNA from 1 species